AUACUCAUUUCUGCAGCAUGUGUACUAAAAUUGGAGUACAGAGAUUAGCAUGGUUCCCAUGCAAGGAUGACUCACAAAUUCAUGAAGUGUUCCAUAUUUUU
ensembl:snRNA U6 U6 spliceosomal RNA